AUUGAACGCUGGCGGCAUGCCUUACACAUGCAAGUCGAACGGCAGCACGGGUGCUUGCACCUGGUGGCGAGUGGCGAACGGGUGAGUAAUACAUCGGAACGUACCUUAUCGUGGGGGAUAACGCAGCGAAAGCUGUGCUAAUACCGCAUACGCCCUGAGGGGGAAAGCGGGGGAUCGAAAGACCUCGCGCGAUUAGAGCGGCCGAUGCCUGAUUAGCUUGUUGGUGGGGUAAAAGCCCACCAAGGCGACGAUCAGUAGCUGGUCUGAGAGGACGAUCAGCCACACUGAGACUGAGACACGGCCCAGACUCCUACGGGAGGCAGCAGUGGGGAAUUUUGGACAAUGGGGGCAACCCUGAGCCAGCAAUGCCGCGUGAGUGAAGAAGGCCCUCGGGUUGUAAAGCUCUUUUGUCAGGGAAGAAACACCGGCUCUAACACAGUCCGGGAAUGACGGUACCUGAAGAAUAAGCACCGGCUAACUACGUGCCAGCCGCCGCCGUAA
rnacentral:rRNA from 1 species